GCCAAGAUACGCAUAAUUCUGAAAUCUUUCAAUAACCAGAAGAACAAUCUGAAGGAUCUUGCGCCGUACAUGCAUAAGGUCGGGUUGCCUGAAUCGCGGUCCUUAUACACCGUGCUGCGAUCACCUCAUAUUGAUAAGAAAUCCAGGGAGCAAUUCUCAACGCAUGUGAAGAAAGUGUUUGUGGAGAAAACAGUGGAGACGCAUGAACUGGCCAAGAAGUUCUUCUGGUUGAAACGGCUUCGUAUAUUGGGGGCUCAGUACGGAGUCGUUAUUAAUUUCAAGACACGCUUGGGUAAAAAGAUUGGCUGCAGCAAAGGUGGUGGCCUGCUUCGACAUCCAAAACAGGGUUCAGGCAUAGAAUAA
rnacentral:rRNA from 1 species